AUCUAUAGUAUCUCUCCUUUACUGCACUGUGCGCUUAGACCUUAGGCACAUGCAGUUUAGCCCUUCAUUUUCUAUCAAUUUGUAUGUUCUUGGUUUAGUUUCCUAGGUUUAACAUUCUGGCAUUUGAGCUCUCCCCAGUUAAUUCACCUUUCUUGUCCUCCAGCCAUCCAUAAUUUAGAAGAGGAGGAAUUUAUCGAGAAGAGAAUAACAGCUCCAGACUUACCAAUCUUACACAAUUUGAUAGAGUUUGUAGUUCCAGUAAUACACAAGAGCUCAAAGACACCUGCUCACAGCACGAGCCUGGAGGACCACCCAAAGAACAAGUGCAUCCACUGUGAGGCACCCACUCCAGGGAAUACAAUGUCGUGGUCAGAAAAAUGAGGAUUUUCAGGGGAUGUUAUGUUUUGGGGACUCUAGCUCUAAAAAGAAAGAAUGGGAGCAGGUAAAACCCCAGAGUGACUUCAGGUAGCAUCUGUGGAAAACAUGGAGAGAUUAAUGAGGUCUUGGAAACAGUCACUGAGUUGAAAUUGGCAUUUUCAUCUUCGAACAGCCCUAUCUGAAGUCUUGACUGUCAGUAAUUGUCACAUUUGGAGGCCAUCUAGAGAAAGAUGGGACAAUAAGGCUUCACUUUUCUCCCAGAAGUUAAACAGUCCAUAAAGUUGGCCAUUGAGUUCUUUUAUGAGACAAGAACAUCCCCGCAGACAUCUGUCCUUUUGGAGAGAAGACACUGAAGACCUUAAACAAGUAAAACAGAAUCUUCACAGAAGUCUCACCCAAGUUCAGUCAGGACACAUUGAGAAGCUCAUCCUAGACUAUGUUGUGUAAGGUAAGUGAGCUAUAAAAGACACAAGAUGGUAACAAGAUGAGAAUGAAGGAAUAUGUGGUGGAGAAAGGCUAAAGAAGACACCCUUGACUCUAUUAUGAUGCAAAAAUUCUGAUAAAGCUUUAUAGUCUGGAGAUCCUUGUAAUAAGUUCUCACAGGUUGUUUGACAAGAAUAACAAUGAAAGCAGAGGAGGUAGCUUGAAACAAGGAACAUUGGAACAGGCACAAUAUGGCUUAUGUAAGAAAAAUGGCAGAAUAGUUAAGCAGAUUUGGGUCCUCUUAUACAUAUUUAUAUAAGUUUGGACAAGUUUCAGAACUUUUCUUGGUAUCACUUUCUUCAUGUGUAAGACUAAUAAUACUGUCUUGUUUGUACUUAACCAUCUGAUAAUGAAAGUCCUAUCCAUGAGUAAAUAUCUUAU
rnacentral:sRNA from 1 species